GUAUCUAUUGACAACACUCUCAUUUGCAUUCCUUGGGAACAUCUGAACAAAAUGAGUCAGAAUUCACUACUGUUUCCUCACUGACAGUGAGUUCC
rnacentral:snoRNA from 1 species